rnacentral:rRNA from 1 species
CUACGGGUGGCACCAGUGAGGAAUUUUGCGCAAUGGGGGGAACCCUGACGCAGCAACGCCGCGUGAGUGAAGAAGGCCUUUGGGUCGUAAAGCUCUGUCAACUGGGAAGAAAUUAGAGUUGUUUAACAGAUGAUUCUAUUGACGGUACCAGUGGAGGAAGCGCCGGCUAACUGCCGUGCCAGCAGCCGCGGUAACACGGGGGGCGCAAGCGGUAUUCGGAAUUAUUGGGCGUAAAGGGCGCGCAGGCGGUCUUGUCGGUCAGGUGUGAAAGCCCGGGGCUCAACCCUGGAAGUGCACUUGAAACAGCAAGACUUGAGUACGGGAGAGGAAAGCGGAAUUCCUGGUGUAGAGGUGAAAUUCGUAGAUAUCAGGAGGAACACCGAUGGCGAAGGCAGCUUUCUGGACCGAUACUGACGCUGAGGCGCGAAGGCGUGGGUAGCGAACGGGAUUAGAUACCCCAGUAGUC